UGCCGGUGUGGCGGAAUUGGCAGACGCGCGCGACUCAAAAUCGUGAGGGAAACCGUGGGGGUUCGAGUCCCUUCACCGGCAUCCA
rnacentral:tRNA from 1 species